UAAGCGAUGGCGUCUCCUAUAGGGCACUGCUAUGUGGGCAAUCUAGAGAGAGAGGUGCAGGUAGUCUUUCCAAGAAAAAGCUAACAUAACAGAAGGAGAUAUAGUGCGUAAGUUUAAACUACUAGUAAAGGUAGAAAUUAAAUCACGCCGCCUAGUGGCUAUUAAUAGACAAGACCUAGAGCUUAGCAAAGAGUUCUCAAAACUCUUUAGACACGACCCACGCGAAAAAGCUAUAUCUAACUUCCUACAAGUUAUAGAUAAUAUCUAACAAUAAAUAAUAAUACUCUCCUGCUGCUAGCGGCGUAGGUACAUGUAUAAUUAGGGCUGCGAACGCUUCCUAGAAACUUUAACUUAAUACUGCAAUAAAUUUUGAACUAAAACUUAACCUAUUAAGGUAAACAUAGUAAUAAAGAGAAAGGGGUCCUGUAGUCGCGCGUAGGUGUGAAGUCUUACAAUAUCUUGUUAAUAGAACCCCGCUCACUCUUAAAAAUGAUAAAUUUAAAGAUAAUUAGAUACUAUUGUAGUCUUAACUAUAAACUAUACUAACUAGGGAUUAGGCGAUGUUCUUUUUCUAACUCGCUUGGCACCUUACAAGAAAUCAAAGUUUUUAGGUUCUAGGGGGAGUAUGGUCGCAAGGCUAAAACUUAAAGAAAUUGAUGGAAGGGCACCACUAGGCGUAGAGCCUGCGGCUUAAUUUGACUUAACACAAGGAAACUCACUAGGUCUAGAUAAAAUAAGGAUUAAUAGAUUAAGAGCUCUUUCUUGAUUUUUUAGGUAGUGGUGCAUAGCCGUUCUUAGUUAGUAGAGUAAUUUGUCUGCUUAAUUGUGAUAACAAACGAGACCUUAACCUGCUAAAUAGCUAGGCUAGCUUUAGCUAGUUGCUAGCUUCUUAGAGGGACUAUUAGCUUAAGCUAAUAGAAGUUUAAGGCAAUAACAGGUCUGUGAUGCCCUUAGAUAUUCUAGGCCGCACGCGCGCUACACUAACAGAGCUAACAAGUUCUUUACCUUAACUAAAAGGUCUAGGUAAUCUUGUUAAACUCUGUCGUGCUAGGGAUAGAGCAUUGCAAUUAUUGCUCUUUAACAAGGAAUACCUAGUAAGCGCGUGUUAUUAGCAUGUGUUAAUUACGUCCCUGCCCUUUGUACACACCGCCUGUUGCUACUACUAAUUAAAUAGCUUAGUAAGGCCUUUAGACUAGCUUGGGGAGGUUAGUAACAACUACCCUAAGCUAGAAAGUUCGUUAAACUUAGUUAUUUAGAGGAAGUAAAAGUCGUAACAAGGUUUCUGUAGGUAAACCUGUGGAAG
rnacentral:rRNA from 1 species